rnacentral:lncRNA from 1 species
AGGUCCCAUUCUCCUUAAAACUCUGAUUUAUCAUCUGAGCUUCAUGUCCAAAACACUUCCUCAAAGUCACUUGGACGUCUACUCAACCAGGUCUCUGCUUUAAUCUCAAUCUCAGUGGACACAUCUCAGGAAACUCAUUCCCCCAACAGGGGACUCAAACCCAUGACCCCAACUUCAAGAGUCGCAUACUAUACCGAUUGAGCCAGCCAGGUGCCCAAAGGGGCACACAAGUCUUACAGAGAUUGAAACGGCCAGUGAAUGAAGACAAGCAACGAUGAAGAAGCUCCAGAGAAGAAAACAGCCAGAAACAUGGACUCUCUUAGUCCCUUACAAGGGCUUAUGUAUUAGACUUUACUAAUUCCAGGAUCUAGUUCUAGCCCUAGAAUACAGAUACCUUAUUAUACCUGAGUCUCCUAUCUAUGGACAAAAUGGCAUCGCUUUCAAACCAUUUGAUGACAAAAUUUGCUUUAAAGCAUUAUAGCUAAUUAGCUUUGUACGUAGUAAGAAUAUCUACAGGGGUCAGCAAAUUUUUUUUUUAUAUAAAGAGCUAGAUAGUAAAUAUUUUAAGCUUUGCGGGCCUUAUGGUCUCUGUCACAAAUGAUGAACUCUGCCAUUUUUGCAAAAGAGCACACACACACACACACACACACACACAUACCCCACAUACACACCACGAGCUAUUAUCAUUUUAGGCUUUAAAAAAAUGGUUUAACUGCAGAAUGCCUUUAUUCCUUGCUGGUAUGUUGUUGCUUCUUUAAAAGUUAAUGAGUAUUCAGCACCCCUAUGACUACAUGCAUGAUCUUCC